CUCCUGCGGUUAUCAAGUAUAGGAGGUCCAGCCUGCCCGGUGACUAUGGGUUUAACGGCCGCGGUAUUUUGACCGUGCAAAGGUAGCGCAAUCACUUGUCUCUUAAAUAGAGACCUGUAUGAACGGCUAGACGAGGGCUUAACUGUCUCCCCCUUCUGGUCAGUGAAAUUGAUCUAUCCGUGCAGAAGCGGGUAUGAAUACAC
rnacentral:rRNA from 1 species